rnacentral:rRNA from 1 species
GAUGAACGCUGGCGGCGUGCCUAAUACAUGCAAGUCGAGCGGACCGACGAGAAGCUUUUUUCUCUGAUGUUAGCGGCGGCCGUGGGAGUAAUACGUGGAUAACCUACCUAUAACUCUGUGAUGACUUCCGGAAGCCGGAGCUAAUACCGGAUGAUAUUUUGAACCACUUUGUUCAACAGUGUAAGACGGUCUUUCUUUCACUUAUCGAUGGCUCCGCGCUGCAUUAGCUAGUUGGUAAGGUAACGGCUUACCAAGGCCACGAUGCAUAGCCGACCUGAGAGGGUGGUCGGCCACACUAGAACGGAGACACGGCCCAGACUCCUACGGGAGGCAGCAGUAGGGAAUAGUCCUCAACGGUCGACAGUCGGAUGCAGCAACGCCGCUGCGGUGAUGAAGGUCGUCGGAUCGUAACACUCUGUUUUUACGGAAGAACCGCGGUGGCAGCAACUGUGAACGCCUUGACGGUACCUAGUCAGAAAGCCACGGCUAACUACGUG